CAGCCAGACACAUAGGAAGCAAGACGAGAAUGACUCUCUGAGAAAAGGUACCAAGCCACGUGGCUAAACAUAGAUAAGAAUUAUGGGUUAAUUUAAGUUGUAAGAGUUUGUUAGUAGUAAACCUGAGCAAUAGGCCAAACAGUUUAUAAUUAAUGUCAGCCUCCGUGUGUUUAUUUGGGACUGAAUGGCCGCAGGACCGGGUGCGACAGGAACUUGAGCCAACAACUUCUUCUACUUCUGGAUCCUGAGCACCCAAGAUCAAGGUGCCUGGAAAUUCCUCUAUGGCCUGCUCUGAUUCUAAGCUGUGAUAAACUUGGAAGAUGGAAACUGAGAGAUGGGUUGGAAGACUAAGUCUAGACAGGGUUUCUCUGUGGCUUUGGAGCUUGUCCUAGCACUCACUCUGUAGACCAGGUUGGUCUCAAAUUCAUAGAGAUCUGCCUGCCUCUGCCUCCCGAGUUCUGGAUUAAAGGCGUUCGCUACCACCGCCAAGAAAUCUGGCCUUGAACUUCUGAUCCUGGGAUUACAGGUGUGUAGUCCUAGAACUUCACUCAUGCUAGACAAGCACCGUACCGACUGAGCUUUAUCGCAGCCCCUGUGAGAGCCUCAAACGCACCAGUCACUGCGCUAGUGCAGGGGAGAAUUAGCAGCUCUGCCAUCCCAGCCCAGACUGCCUUUGUCACCUGUGCACAUCUUCCGGUUCGCAUUGUCCAGUGCCACACAGCCAACGAAGUGGUCAACCUUCAUUGACAACUUGAUGGAAUCUAGAAUCACCAUGGAAACACACUUAUGCAUGUUCCCAUGGGUGUGUUCCCAGGGAGCUUUAACUGAAGAGAGAGGACUCAACCUGAAUGUGGGGAGCGCCAUCCCUCCAGCUGGGGGGCCAUCCUGAAUGAAAAGGAGAAAUCUACCCGGGCACCCGCAUUCAUCUUCUCUGCCUCCCGACUGUGGGUGCAGUGGACCAGUUGCCUUUCCCACCAGGACGGGCUGUACACCUUGGGAGUGUGAGUCAAUACACUUCCCUUCUUCAUUUAAGUUGCCUGUUGUCAGGACUUUGGUCACAUAAAGAGAAGAGCAAUUUAUACAGCACACUAACCAUCACUUAUUUGUCUCAGUUUUUGAAUGCUCAAUGUUUAUUAGGCUAAGGUGUUGGUGGGUAUGGUGGUUUGAAAGAAAAUGACUCCUCAAAGUGAGUGGCACUAGGUGUGGCUUUGUUAGAAUAGGCGUGGCCUUGUUGGCAGAAGUGUGUCACUGUGGAGGUGGACUCAAGCCAAGCCCAAUGUCUCAGACCACUUCCUGUUGCCAGUGAGUUGAGAAUUAAGAACCCGCAGCUCCCUCUCCAGCACCAUGUCUGCCUGCACUCUGCCAUACUCCAAACUGCCAUGCUCCCCACUGUGAAGACAAGAGACUAAACCUCUGAAACUGUAAGCCAGCCACCCAAUUAAAUGUUUUCCUUUGUAAGAGUUACCGUGGUCAUGGUGUCUCUUCACAGCAACAGGACACUGACUGAGACAGUGGGGAAAGCCCCUAUCUCAGGAGCUCACAGUUUGGGAAUUAAGCAAGGUCAUAAAUGAAACACUGUCAUAUUUCAAGUUCUGUUUGGAAUGAAGGAAAUAGAAUGCCAUGGCUUAAGCAGUGAAAUCCAGAUAUAACAGAAGGGUGCCCAAGAAUUAAAUUUACUCCCAGUGAGUCAUCCAUUCACUGAACAUUUGCUGACUGCUUCAAAGACGCCUGCAGCUGAGCUCAGAAGAGAGAAAUGCAGGAGAGGGAACUGCAGAGAAUGAGAAACCAGACUGCCACCCAGACCUCCUGCUGUCGGCCCUGUGCCUGAGCAACCUACCAAUCCUCUGUGAGCCUCGAAUUCCUCAUCCAGAAAUGGAGGGCCAGCAAGAUGGUUCCAUGGGUGAAAAUGGGGGGAAAAUUCCUUGGGGUUGUUCUCUGAUCUCCACACACGCACAUUCAUGCAAUUAGACAUACAAUACUAAUUUUAAAAAAUUAAAAUGGAGCAAAUAGUGUCUAACAUACAGGAUCGUCCGGAAUGACAGUUGUGCCUUUUUU
ensembl:lncRNA